GUAUUAUUCAUGUAUUCGUAGCAAUAUUAUUAGUAUAUAAUUUUUUUUCCUGGAAGAGUAUAUCAUAAGAAACUCAAUAACUGGGGACAACUGACCCAAAUUCUCUAACAUAAAAUGCAUUUUAACUUUGGGGAAAUUCAUAAAAUAUUAAUAUUUGAGAGGAGUCAGUUGAGUAUGAGACCUUUGUGUUCAAGUUAUCUUUCAUUAAACUCCUGGACAUUGCAUCUUGUGCAGUAGCGCCAUCUGCUUUCAUGAACACAGAAUUGCUAUGAGAGGGGGCUGGUUUAUGUUCACAGGCCGCCCAUGCACUACAGAUGAAAAUGUCUUUUCAAAUGAAAAGUUUACAUUAGGCCACAUCAUCUUUACUUAGUAAUUUUAAAUUUGUACGCUAGUUGAUAGUAUUUUAAAACAAACCCUGUAAGUGUUAUAACACGAAAUUGAUUGUCAAAUAUAACUUGAAGUAGCAGGAAAGCCUCGUCAUUAGUGAUAUAACAUCAAUAGUAACUAAUAAGACACUUGACUUUAAUUUUUUAUCACAAAAAAAACAAAAUUAUUUUUUAUUCAGUGAGUUAGUAUUGAUUUUUUAUUUUGGUCUCAAAUGACAAGGCUUUCUGAUUUUUUUUUUUUUUAUUGUGAAAUGCGUAUCUCUUCUGACAUCUGACAAACAGCAUACAAAAGUCCUUUUAUUUACCAGUAAUAUGUUUGUAAAAAGUUGUUAAGUGCAAAUGAAUGUGUUUCCUCCCUUUUUACAUGUCAACGUCGUAAACCAACCGGUAGUCUUGAUUCGCCCCCAAACUUGGGUAUGUGUCUUUAUUUACUUCAUGGCUGGGGCUUAAAAAUACUUUUGUAGGCUGAGUGUGUGUGCAGAGCAUCCUGGCAUUGGUACAAUACUUCUAAACAAACCUGUGUGUGUAACUUAAGAGACUGAACUUAAAACAACACAAUGCAUGUUAUUGAUGUGUGUAUUCUGCCUCCUACAGUGACGGGCCAUACUCAGGACACACGAUUGCAGACAUUGAUACGAGGACUUUGAGUACAAAGCAACCAAUGUCUGUUGUUUUCAGACAACAUAUUGCUAAGCUGUUAUAAGGCCAAAAAUGUGAAUCUCCCUUGAGUCUUUCAAAUUCUAAUUCAAACGUUACUCUUACCACCAGGAAGACAGUCCCCACACUGAGAGAUAAAAGCUGUGCUGGCUUAUUUCCACAUGCAGUCAGGCAGACCCGCUUACUCUUCUCUGCCCUGUCACUUAGUCCUGAGGUGAUUUUCAGAGAAGCCCAGAGAUAAUGCUGUGCUCUCUAAUCUUUCCCCUUCUUCCCUCUGAUUUCUGCACUACUGUUUUAAUAAGCACACUGGCCAUUUGGACAGCUUCUGUAGCAACACAUUUAUUAGGAGAUGGUCGUAUUUCCAAAUUUAAAGCCAUAAACACUACAAACUUUAGAC
rnacentral:lncRNA from 1 species